GACGAACGCUGGCGGCGUGCUUAACACAUGCAAGUCGAACGGAAAGACCCUGCUUUUGUGGGGUGCUCGAGUGGCGAACGGGUGAGUAACACGUGAGUAACCUGCCCUUGACUUUGGGAUAACUUCAGGAAACUGGGGCUAAUACCGGAUAGGAGCUCCUGCUGCAUGGUGGGGGUUGGAAAGUUUCGGCGGUUGGGGAUGGACUCGCGGCUUAUCAGCUUGUUGGUGGGGUAGUGGCUUACCAAGGCUUUGACGGGUAGCCGGCCUGAGAGGGUGACCGGCCACAUUGGGACUGAGAUACGGCCCAGACUCCUACGGGAGGCAGCAGUGGGGAAUAUUGCACAAUGGGCGGAAGCCUGGUGCAGCAACGCCGCGUGCGGGAUGACGGCCUUCGGGUUGGAAACCGCUUUCGCCUGUGACGAAGCGUGAGUGACGGUAAUGGGUAAAGAAGCACCGGCUAACUACGUG
rnacentral:rRNA from 1 species